UACGGGGGGAGCAAGCGUUGUUCGGAAUUACUGGGCGUAAAGCGCGCGUAGGCGGCUUUGUAAGUUAGAGGUGAAAGCCCAGGGCUCAACCCUGGAAUUGCCUUUAAGACUGCAUCGCUUGAACAUCGGAGAGGUAAGUGGAAUUCCGAGUGUAGAGGUGAAAUUCGUAGAUAUUCGGAAGAACACCAGUGGCGAAGGCGACUUACUGGACGAUUGUUGACGCUGAGGUGCGAAAGCGUGGGGAGCAAACAGG
rnacentral:rRNA from 1 species